AGAAGCUCCCAUCAGAUCAGCUUUAAUCUCAACCAUGAUCUGUGUAGCUCUGCUGCUGUUGGCUGCUGGAUGCUGUGUGAAGUGUGAAACGCUGACACAACCAGCCUCUGUGACUGUACAGCCAGGUCAACGUCUGACCAUCACCUGUCAGGUCUCUUAUUCAAUGGGCAGCUACUACACAGCUUGGAUCAGACAGCCUGCAGGACAAGGACUGGAGUGGAUUGGAGUGAAAAGCACUGGAUAUUCAUUUUAUAAAGAUUCACUGAAGAACAAAUUCAGCAUUGACCUGGACACUUCAAAAAAUAGUGACUCUGAAUGGACAGAAUAUGCAGCCUGA